UGACUGAAAGGUGGAAAGCAGUCAAGAGAUCUGCACUAAAAAUCUGAAGUCUCUCUUCAAAAAAUGUUUUUCUCAUGCGUUACUGCUAAAUUAACCUCCUGACAAAGGAGCUGGUGAGAUUUUGGAUUGACAGUAGGAAAAAUAGCUGAAAACGUGUCUUCGAUUUAAGCCACCUCUCUCACCAAAAACCUGGACCUGAAACACUAUUUCAGACUCGCAGGCUGUGAUGGAAAAAGCUAGGCUUUUAUUAAACAAGAAAAGUAGGAUUCUUCUUUUAUAUUAUCUCCUUGAUGCCAACAGGUACGGGAGAAUAUUGUGCAAGGAAAGGAUGGGCUUUUGUCUGAAAGCUGGCAUCUUUGGGUUUGUGUAGGUGAUAACUUUGGGGUGCAAUAGAAAUGCAGUUGUUGCUCAUUUCUGGUGAUUUAGAUCUCUUCAUCUGAGAUAGUGCUUCUGCUACUGGGGAACUGUGUGGGUCUGUUACUUCCAACUGUAAUAUUUUGUUGCUGGGGAAACACAUCAACACAGUUUUUCCACCAGAUUGCCAUUUUGAACAAAUGUCGCAAGUACCUAUGGAAUAGUGCCUGGACACAGGCUAUCUUUUUUGGGGGGGGGUGUGAGGGGGGAUAUUUCUGUUUUCUUGUUUGCUCUUUAAACUUAUUUGCUGGAUGAGCACAGGACCUUGCAAUCUAGCAGUUCUGUUUCAUUAUAUGGGUCUAUUGCCAUCUGGGCAUCUGUGUUCCCCAAGUUUCCUCCAAAGCACAUGCACAACUGUACAUUAUUCUAAAUGAUUGGGAACUAAAUAGCAACAUGGUUGGCACACUAAUUGCUAUCCCCUGUCAAGGUUGUCUUCCAGCAAAUAUUCAACAUGUAGACUCCAAAAUCUGAUAAUGUACGGAAAGCUGUUGUGUAUGAAUAUUGUACUAUGGAAAUAAUACUGUUGCAACACAUUGCUGUCUGUACAACCCCUUUGUAUUCUGGACAUCUGUGACAUGUACUUGUCAAAUGUCAGUUAGUCUGGAUGGUUUAGAUUUACAUCUUUUUCUCUACCAUGAAAGUCCUCAGACCAGAAACUAUCGUCAUGGCUUUCUUUAAAUUGUGCAGAAAAUGAUGUUAUUUAGAAGUUUUUUGCUACCCUUCUGUUCUAUUCACUCAACCACUCACUUUCUUUUGUGGUUAGCUUAACUUUUUAAGGAUAGCCUCCUGUCUUCUACCUGACAGGCCAAGGAGGAGUGGAGGCCAUGAAAAAUAAGAUGCUGCAGUAUUAUGAAGGCAUUGGAGAGUACGUUGGCAUGCCACAUCCUAGAUUGAUCAAGAAACACAAAAAGCUUCUAAUGUGAGGAAAAACACGCAAUGACAAGUGUGGAAAAGAGCAAGCACUAAAUUACUGUCAGAAAAAUAAACGGAGUAGCGUGCUGCUGCACGGUGAUUUACGGGGGCAAUUAACCACCACCCCACAGAGCUGCUGAGGACAGCACUGCUGCCUGAGGAAGUGUCAGGCGAAGAGGAAGGAAGAGGAACGCUUGGCUUGUGGCUUUCCAGACAACUUUGUGAAAAACAAGCAAGGAGGCACGGAAUGUGAAGGGUUUGGUAGCACAUCUCUAA